rnacentral:lncRNA from 1 species
AUGAGAGAUAAAGAAGGCGAGCGUAGCUUGCAUCAGCCGCGUGGAGCUGGGUGUUUCACCAACUUGCGCAAAGCGAGCGGCCGAAUUACUUGGGCUGCAGCCACCCCUGCCCAGUGUCACCACUGCCCCCUGAGCCCGUCCCACUCGUCACACCGAUGGGCUGCUCUGGGAGCUGGCAUCCCGGGAGGGUUUCCUCUGCUGCUGCCUGGGCAAACUGAGACAUCCUCUGAGCAUCUCCAUGUCCGUGAGCAUCCUGCAUCCCUGAGCGUCUCCGUAUCCCGCAGCAUCCCACGUCCCUACACCAGCAGGUCCCAGGCACGGGGCCGAGGGCGCAGCAGGAGCCCCGCAGGGGAGGAGUGCUGCGGAGGGUGACGGCAACGUAGCACCUACUCUAAUGGGAUCCUCUCCACAAGUAAUUAAGCCUCGGCUAAUGCUAACCGUAAUGUGAUGUAUGUAUGCCUUUAACUAAUCAUUUAUUAGCCUCGUUGAUGGUUUGUCAAUAUUAAUUCAUUUAUUUAAACAACUCCGAGCUGUAAUGAAGAUGUUUGCUUUAAGGGGGAAAAAAAGAGAUGGAGCUGCCAGGAGAUUUUUUGUUGACUCGAUGGAUGUCGCUCUGCCCUGGGUGAUGAGCGGCGUCCCUGCCCUCAAAGCCUGGCCCCUCGCUGCCAGCAGUGUCCCCAACCUGGUGGCAGCCCCCGGAGCAUCCCGAGGGGCUGCUGUAGGGCUGUAGGGACCCCCCCUCACAGCACCUCUGGGCUGGCUAGGAUGGGGCCACCCGAAGCAGCUGAGCGCUGUGACUGGAACAACUUUGUUUUGAAGAAUUUCCAUCAGUUUGACCUUAAAAUGUUCUAGCCGUACUUAGACGCCUGAAGUCAGACCCAAAUGUGCUGCACGACCAGGAACAAUUGGUUUCUGCUGACUUUCGACUUGGUAAUGAUUUCAAAUUGGUUUUCAUUUCAAAUCAAAUUACUUCUAUUUAAUAUUUUUUUGAGGUGGGGGAAAGGGAAAUUGACAAGAAACUGAAAAAAUGUAUUUUUUAUUCCAUUUGAUAGCCCACCUUGGGCUGGAUUUGCUCUUCCUUCUGCAGCCCGUGGGUGCCAAGGCCAGCAGGGUGCUCUCCAGGGGAGCAUCCCCAGGGCAGCAGGGUCCUGUGCCGGGGCUGUGCCAAACAGCUCCCGCAGCACGGGCUUUGGUGCUGGCCCUGGAUGUUGCAGCAGCUGCUUUCAGCUCUCCUCCUCAGCUUCUUAAUAUCAGCUAGAUCACAGUAUUAAAGUUAACUUUCUCUUAAACAAGCUUAAUUAGCGUCCUUCAGACAAACAUAAAUUAAUCCCGGGCUGCUCUGGAAGAUGCGGAAAUUCCCCUUGAUCGAUUG